rnacentral:rRNA from 1 species
GAACGAGAAAGCGGGCUUCGGUCCGUGAGUAAAGUGGCAGACGGGUGAGUAACACGUGGGUAACCUGCCCGGAGGUGGGGGAUAACCCUUCGAAAGGAGGGCUAAUACCGCAUGAUAUCUCGAGAGCCUAGGCUCCCGAGUUCAAAGCUUGCCUCUACUCGUAAGCAAGCGCCACCGGAGGGACCCGCGCCCCAUUAGCUUGAUGGUGAGGUAGUGGCUCACCAUGGCGACGAUGGGUAGCCGGCCUGAGAGGGUGACCGGCCACACUGGAACUGAGACACGGUCCAGACUCCUGCGGGAGGCAGCAGUGAGGAAUUUUGCGCAAUGGGCGAAAGCCUGACGCAGCGACGCCGCGUGGAGGACGAAGGCCUUCGGGUCGUAAACUCCUGUCAAGCGGGACGAAUCCCGGGCGGAUGAAUAAGCCGACCGGUUGACGGUACCGCUGAAGGAAGCCCCGGCUAACUCCGUGCCAGCAGCCGCGGUAAUACGGAGGGGGCUAGCGUUGUUCGGAAUUAUUGGGCGUAAAGGGCGCGUAGGCGGCUCUGCAAGUCGGAGGUGAAAUCCCUCGGCUCAACCGGGGAACUGCCUCCGAAACUGCAGGGCUUGAGUCCCGGAGAGGAUAGCGGAAUUCCCAGUGUAGCGGUGAAAUGCGUAGAUA